UCGGAAUUCGGUAGUGGCUGUGAAAUUUAUGACCAAUUGUUGGCUUUAUGUUUGUUUUUAAAGUUGUUUGUUGCUGCGGACCAAUUCACAGAAUGCGGAUUAACAAAAAGGAUCUUAACUUCAUCGGAAUUUGUGUAAUAAUCUGUACUACAAAGCUUCCAGAACCCGAAUAAUUUGAAUCAAUAAAAACUUGGGAAAAGGAGUUGGCGUUCAACAUUUAUACGGGUCGGCCAAAGAAAUCUUCAGCAAGCUUUCUGGUUUUAAGAAAGCUAGUAUCGCAUCCUGAAACAAUAAGACACUUCGCUGACUUGAUGGAAUUCACCUUACAUUGAGUAAAACUCAGGUUCCUAAGGAACCCUUGGUUUCACAUUACACAAUGUCGGAUUUCUGCGUGCAGGAAGAGAUAUGGUAUUUCUACAUUCUAUUUACAGGUCUAACUCUCCUUUCUUGUAAGACAUAACAAACUAGCUUCCUCGUCGUAUCGACCGAUAGCCCCGCUUUUCCUUCCUCUGGAUGUGUAUUUUACUAUGUGUGCGGAUGGUAACGAGAGCGAAGUGUUCCAACUAGGGUGGAAGUCAAACAUAUGUAAGGAUGAUUGACAGCUAAUGGAAACAAAUGCAACUCGACUACGUGUGUGCAUGUGUGAGAUGCAAAUGAUUUGCAAAACAAGGCCGGAAAUGGGCGUCUCAUAAACGGGAAAAAAAGAAUGCCAAAUUGGACAGCAUAUCUGACAGCAGGAAAAUCCGAAUAAACAUUAUUCCACAAACUUAAGAAUGCACACCGAAAUUCGCAGCGCUGAGAUGAAAGCUGUUCGACCCAUAAACUAAAUCAAUUUAGUUAUUUCCGUCCUACGGCUGCUCGCCUUGUUAAGGAAGAUUAGCCUGGAUGAGGAUCAAAAGAGGCGUCGUAGAGAGUCGAACCCCAUACGAUUUCAUAUACAUGGCAAUGUUGUUUUAACACCUUGAGCUGCGCUCGAAAUGAAAUAUUUUCCGGUGGUAUGUAUGCAAGUAGAGGCGUAUAAUUCCCACCAAAUGUUUCAGGCGUCCAAAUAACAUAUUUAGCCAUAUUAUAUCGAUUUAAAACACUGCGUUCGAGUGUGUUCCGAAACGGUGCCGA